GACGAACGCUGACGGCGUGUCUAAUACAUGCAAGUAGAACGCUGAAGGAGGAGCUUACUUCUCUGGAUGAGUUGCGAACGGGUGAGUAACGCGUAGGUAACCUGCCUGGUAGCGGGGGAUAACUAUUGGAAACGAUAGCUAAUACCGCAUAAGAGUAGAUGUUGCAUGACAUUUACUUAAAAGGUGCAAUUGCACCACUACCAGAUGGACCUGCGUUGUAUUAGCUAGUUGGUGGGGUAACGGCUUACCAAGGCGACGAUACAAAGCCGACCUGAGAGGGUGAUCGGCCACACUGGGACUGAGACACGGCCCAGACUCCUACGGGAGGCAGCAGUAGGGAAUCUUCGGCAAUGGACGGAAGUCUGACCGAGCAACGCCGCGUGAGUGAAGAAGGUUUUCGGAUCGUAAAGCUCUGUUGUAAGAGAAGAACGAGUGUGAGAGUGGAAAGUUCACACUGUGACGGUAUCUUACCAGAAAGGGACGGCUAACUACGUGCCAGCAGCCGCCGCGG
rnacentral:rRNA from 1 species